UUCCGCCGGUGGUGUGUGCCGAAGCGUCCAAAAGGGGUGUGCGCUGAUACGCGCCGCGCUCGCUCUGCUGGCGUUGCGGCAUGCCUCAUUGCGAUGACUGUCACGUAGCUGGUGCGUUCUAAUUGCCAGGAGACCAAAGAGCCUCUACUGACGCCCAUACAAACAAGCCACAAAAAGACAUCAUUGCAGCCUGCCAACAGUCAAGAACCAGUAGUUGCAGCAGAAGCACCUCGGUUGUUGGGACCAUUGUGACUAUGCAACCACCAGGCUAUCGGCUCUCAUCAUACACAAGUGCAACUACAUGGGCAGGAAGUUGCUUCUGGUUCUGCCCUUGGAACAUUUUCCAGAGAGCGACUUCCAAGAGACACCUGUGUACCCACCGUCGAGUGCCUAUUUAACUAAACUGUUCUGGUACUACUACUGGAAGAUCUUUGGUUAUAUUCAGAUCAAGCUUUUACACCAGAAAUCCCAGUGGCACAAGCAUUGAGUGACACUCUUCCUUCUUGUGCAGUACUUCCGGUUCACUUCCUAAGACGACCGGUGAGGAAAUUCAAAAUAAAUUAGAAAAAAAUAUAAAAAAUAGUGCAGUAAAAAAUUCAUAGGUUUCAUAAUAGAUAUGAUAUCAGAGCAUAAGUUUAGUUACAAAUUAAGUUACUGAAGUAUCUGAAAUAAUUAUGAUUAUUAAGGAAUCACAGACGUCUGGGGACGAAAUUCAAUAUAAAUGAGUAAAAGAAAAAAAUAGUACAGUAGAAAAUUCAUGGGUUUCAUUAUAGAUAUGUUAUUGGAGCAUAAGUUGAGUUACAAAUUGCGUUACUGAAGUGUCUGGAAUAAUUAGAAUUAGAAAUCACUGAGUCCCAGCCUGGGCUGAAAUUCAAAAUAAAUCAGAAGAAAUAGAAAAAAAAUAGUACAGUACAAAAUUCAUGGGUUUCAUAAUAUGAAAUCAGAGCAAAAGUUCAGUUACAAGUUGAGUUGCUGAAGUGUCUGUAAUAAUUAAAAUUAAUUAGAAAUCACUGAUUCACACACCAAAGCACAGAAUCCUAGGCUUAAAGACACCCCAUGUGAGCACAAUUUUAGCGAAAUUCCUAGAAACCUGGAACUAGAAAGCGAAAAUAAUGAUGUCACUAUUGAAGUCACACACAGGAAGGUCACAGGAUAUGGACAAGUUUCCUCCAUGUUUGGUUUGUGCAUUGUGUUCACCUAAACUUAACCUAAAGAACACCGACACCAAGGUGCAAAUGCC